rnacentral:rRNA from 1 species
UACGUAGGGACCAAGCGUUGUCCGGAAUCAUUGGGCGUAAAGCGCGCGUAGGUGGCUUCGUAAGUCCGUUGUGAAAGUCAAAGGCUCAACCUUUGAAAGCCGAUGGAUACUGCGAAGCUAGAGUACGGAAGAGGCGAGUGGAAUUCCUGGUGUAGCGGUGGAAUGCGCAGAUAUCAGGAGGAACACCAGUGGCGAAGGCGACUUCCUGGCCUGUUCUUGACGCUGAGGCGCGAAAGCUAGGGGAGCAAACGGG